AUCUCCUUAGUUUAAUGGACAAAACAGAGACCUUCUAAGUCUCCAAUGUAGGUUCGAUUCCUACAGGGGAUA
rnacentral:tRNA from 1 species